CAUCCGCCGCCUGACAGACCUGGCUCCUCGUGGAGAAUUUUCUACCUGUCUGUGCACCAGGCUGGGAGCUGACGGACAGGCAUUUCUGUAUGCGAAACGCUCAAGCCCCCUUAUCCUUCUCGCGCUCUCUCUUUUCUUUCCCCCCCCCCACCUUUUAAUUCCCCGAAAUGGGUUUUCAUGAAUACAGAUCGUUACCCGCACUGAUACCACGGUAAUUGUCUAGGGGUCCGAGCGCUCCAGGAAAAGAAAAGCGGAGGAAGAGAGGGAGGGAUAUAACCUCCGUUAUCUUUCUGUUACUAAUUCCCAGCCGGCUCGGACUCAGGGGACAAGGCGAUCGCUUAACAAACCCUCCUCCUCCUCUCCCUCCACCACUCCUUCCUUCCUUCCUCUUCUCCGGCACAUUUUCUCCCCCGCGCUCGCCCACGUUUCAUUCCUCCUCCUCGGGAGGAAUAAGCCAUGCAAACUCAAACUAAAAAGGAAAAAAAAAGAAAAGGGGUGGGGGGGAGGGAGGUAGACUGGAAUAAAAAAAAAAAAUAAGAAAGGGGAGGGAGGAAGAAAAGGACAGAAAGUGUCUGUGCCUGAUCGCUGACCAUCUGUGCAAAAGGUGAUCAUUGUUAGGUACUCACAUGGCUGGUGGCAGAGCAGCUCUUAGCAAUUAAUAAGUCUCUCAGCUUGAUAUCUUCUUUCCCCUUUUUGAUUGUAGCGCUCUCUGUGUGUCUCUCUCACACACACCAAACCGAUCAGAUGCUUCAGGACCGGCCACUUUGCAAGGGGAACAACACGGGAGGGUUUGUAUUACUCCAGCACCUAUGCGUUGCAGCCUCCCUCCCUGCCUUCCCAACCAGGGGCAGGACCUGACCCGGAUUAGCACCGACUUUAACUCCAAGUUGGAAAUAACGCGCAGGGAAGUAGGCGAUGCCAUCAGACAUCAUGUGGCACAGACUCUCUGUGAAAUGUCCCUUCCUAUAAAGCGCUCUGUCCGGACGCACACAAGCACACGAACAUAUAUCGGACAUGUGUGCAUCGUGCGCACGACGGGGUGUAUAUUCACAGCUUCCCCCGUGAAAGAGGCUCCUGUCACCCGAGAGCGGCGAGGGAGAGAGCCAGAGACAUUAGCAGCCCCUCGCUUCCCUUUGCUCUGCGCCGGGGAUGUGAAAGCGCUUCCUCUGCCAGGCUCCGAGAUUCUCUCAAGUGAUUUUUAGCCUGGCGCUCUGGUCUAUCCAUAGACAUUUCCAAUCUCAUGGCUCAUAAACUAUUAGCAAAAGGAUUUCAUUAUUCACCUUCUAUAUCCUACAAAGGAGAGAAAAAAAAUACACUCCUGGUAACAACGAGAAACGGGCUGGGUUUAAAUCACAACACUUUCUGCCGCUCCAAUCUGAUAUAUACAGGGCUAGCCAGUUUGCAGUGACCAUGCAGCUUCGCUCGGGGGGUUUGGCUGGCUGUGUCUGGCUCUGUACAGAUCGAAGGGUUUUUCCCUGCUGCGUACGCCCCCGCGCACGCUCCCGAGCCGCGGCGCCUGGCGCCCGCGUCCGGGGCGCGCGUUAUUGUUCAGCAGUAAUUGAAGAGGUCAGCGUCUUAAUAAAGCAAAACAAAACCAUGAAUAGUAUUUUACU
ensembl:lncRNA